ACGUACACUCCUGCGGGAGGCAGCAGUGGGGAAUAUUGCACAAUGGGCGCAAGCCUGAUGCAGCCAUGCCGCGUGUAUGAAGAAGGCCUUCGGGUUGUAAAGUACUUUCAGCGGGGAGGAAGGCGAUAAGGUUAAUAACCUUGUCGAUUGACGUUACCCGCAGAAGAAGCACCGGCUAACUCCGUGCCAGCAGCCGCGGUAAUACGGAGGGUGCAAGCGUUAAUCGGAAUUACUGGGCGUAAAGCGCACACAGGCGGUCUGUCAAGUCGGAUGUGAAAUCCCCGGGCUCAACCUGGGAACUGCAUUCGAAACUGGCAGGCUAGAGUCUUGUAGAGGGGGGUAGAAUUCCAGGUGUAGCGGUGAAAUGCGUAGAGAUCUGGAGGAAUACCGGUGGCGAAGGCGGCCCCCUGGACAAAGACUGACGCUCAGGUGCGAAAGCGUGGGGAGCAAACAGGAUUAGAUACCCGUGUAGUCCCAUG
rnacentral:rRNA from 1 species